AGAAAAAUACUUCUCACCUUGCAUAAUCAAUCUGUUGGUCAGACAGGAAGUAGCAAUUGAGUGACAAGGACUGUAUCACCACCCAGGGUGUGACACUGUGCUUUGAGAGCCUCUCAGAGCCAACACUGACUCUGGAUGACCUCACAGGAAAGGUGGAGAAACCAAGCAUUGCCUUAUAAACAUGCCCCUUUCCUAGGGUAUGGCUGAUGCAGUUGUUGUGACGGUCCUGAGCAGCCUCUGAAUCACAGCCAUCUCCAUCAUGAAGAUCAUUGGGGAUCUCCUUCUGUUCUGUACAGUGCCCCAUCUCUGCACCUGCUCAGAAGCUGCCAGUCUGCCUUUAAAAACAGAAGAGUACUGAAAAAGUUCAGUUUCUUCGUAAAGGAAGAUGUUAACUUCUCCAUAGACGUGAUUACAGAGCAAGGAUAUCGUCAUUGUCAUCUUCAUCAUCCCUGGGCCUUUUCCCUCAUGUUGGCACAGGUCCCCAGGGGGUGGGGUUGGUAGGGAGGGGGCAGACACAGAUUCAGAGUCAUCUUUGCUGGGUGGAGAAAACUGCGCUCUCCUUCAGACUCCCCACCUCACUGACUGACAAAUACAAACAUGUCAAAAUAAACUAAAAAGUACAAUGAAAUUCUAACAAUUCAUUGUUGAGGUCUAAGUAUCAAAUAAAAUAAUUACGCUUAUUAAAAACUUUGUAGAACUAUCAUCUACCUAGUAACCUUAAUAGAUCAAAAGAUAAAAACCCAUUUUAAAUGGAACAUAAAGAGCAAAAUAUGUAUAACACCAAGAGC